GUAAGCCACCUUGCUUCAGUCGUUAAAUUGUUUAAAAUUUAACUCGCAUAGCUAUAGCUCCUUUUCGAGUGCCUGCACUCUGUUCUAUGCUUUUGGCCUUGAUCUAACAUAUCUACCAAAGGUUGCAGAAGGUUUAAAGAAAAAAAAAAAAAAGUUUGCCCAAGGGCUAUGAUAAAGGAUAUUUGUCUUUGAGUGAAAUGCUCGUGUCUCUCACCCCUAAGUUUGGUGAAUCUCAUGAAUACACAUGGAAGUUUUUUGUGCCCUCAUUGCUUCUGCUUUUUCAAUAAUUCAGUUCACCUCCGAAAAUCCUGUUCCUUUCAGAUGUUCUGUAAUUAGAUGAGCAAAAGUUGAAAAGCCUGCGGAAAUGUACUUCUUAAGAUCGGAAUGACCAUGACUCACAGCCAAAGUUCACCUUCACGUCUGCUUUGGUGGCCUAGGCGGUGUGAACGGAUGCUCUUUGAAUGCUCCAUCCUGCGGAGACAGCCAAACCCCGGCCAGGAUUUACUGGGUACAAGCAGCGGGAAAGGCAUGGUGUGAGGUCCGUGAAGGAACCAGGAAUAGACGGCAUUGUUCCUGAUUCAGAAGGAGCUUGCAAAUAGUGCGGUGGAACAAGACACAUACUUUGAGAUGGAUGACCACUGAAGGCUUUUGUGGUUAUAUUUAUUCUUAACGAUGUUUAUUUACUUUUGCUGCACUGGGUCUCUGCUGCUGUCCUUGGACUUUCUCUAGUUGCGGGGAGCAGGGGCUGCUCUUGCCUGCCGUGGCCGGGCUUCUCAUUGCGGUGGCUUCUCUCGUGGAGCACAGCCUCUAGGCACCUGGGCUCAGGAGUUGUGGCGCACGGGCUUAGUUGCUCCGUGGCAUAUGGGAUCUUCCCGGACCUGGGAUCGAACCUGUGUCCCCUGCAGUGACAGGUGGAUCUUAUCCACUGUGCCAACAGGGAAGUCCUGCGAUUAUUGUUAAGGGAGUAGUAUAGAAAAAACAUUUAGGAAGCUAUGAUGGAUGGAGGAGGGCCCCUCUAAAGCGAUGACAUUUUAAGCAAGGCUUGAAAAGAAACAAACCGAAAGAUCCGGGCAGUGACAUGGUUGGAAGGGAAAGACCUGGGAAUUCAUUUCUCGUCUUUUUUAAAAAAUGAGUUUUUACUGGAGUGUAGUUGCUUUGCAGUGUUGUCUUAGUUUCUGCCGUACAGCAAAGUGAACAGCGAUGUGUAUAGCUGAUACAGAGCUCACACGAUGCAUCUCCUCUUUUUUGGAUUUCCCUCCCAUUCAGGUCACCACGGAGCACUGAGUGGGUCUCCUGUGCUCUGCGUAGAGCCUCGCUAGUUAUCUGCUUCACACAUAGUGUCACUGGUGUGUGCAUCUUCCCAAACUCUGUGGUCUCAGCUUGUGUUACUGAGUUGGAAAGCAUCUGAUAAAUUAUCUAUUUAAAAAAAGAAAAUAAUAUUUAGAACACUUCAGAGGUGACAAAGAAUCCCGAAGGUGGGGAAAGCUCCCUGGAAGAGGUUAGAACUUGAGCCAGGCUCUGAAGGGAUGAUGAGAACGUCCAGAAUUCCAAGACAGAAGAAUUAGCCUCCAGUCAAAACUCUACUGCUUACUGGUGGUACCAUCUCUCUAGACUCCACACAUGUGUGUCAAUGUAGGAUAUUUGUUUUUCUCCCUCUGACUUACUUUACUCUGCGUAACAGACACGAGGCCCAUCCACAUCACUGCAGCUGACCCAGUUUCAUUCCUUUUUAUGGCUGAGUAAUGAACGUAUACACACACCACAUCUUUAUCCAUUCAACUGUUGAUGCUGCAAUAAAGACAAUUGAGACUUGCUCCUAUCA
rnacentral:lncRNA from 1 species